rnacentral:rRNA from 1 species
UACAGGGGGUGCAAACGUUGCUCGGAAUUACUGGGCGUAAAGCGUGCGCAGGCGGUUAUGCAAGACAGAUGUGAAAUCCCCGGGCUCAACCUGGGAACUGCAUUUGUGACUGCAUGGCUAGAGUACGGUAGAGGGGGAUGGAAUUCCGCGUGUAGCAGUGAAAUGCGUAGAUAUGCGGAGGAACACCGAUGGCGAAGGCAAUCCCCUGGGCCUGCACUGACGCUCAUGCACGAAAGCGUGGGGAGCAAACAGG